ACAUAGAUAGAGAUUCCAUAUAUAUGUACACUUUACUUUUUUUUAAGUCUAAUAAUAUAUAGUAUCUUCUAAUUUUAUUUGUACUAGCAGUGUCCGUAGUCAGGCAGUGCAAUGCAACAAAGCUGCUAAGUUCAUAGCAACAUCAGUUAAUUAGAUUAUGUUUGGCAUAGCUUAGCUUCGCUAGUGAAACUAUUUGUUUGGUUUCAACUUAAUUGGUAAAAACAGAGCUAUGUUCGUGAUUCCAUUUAGCAAAACAACUUUACAUAGUAGACAUCGGGGUUGAUUAAAAGCCACUGGAUUCUGCAAUGAGAAAAUUCCAAGCAUCGGUGGUUCCUCGGCGUGAUGACACGCGUCUUCAUAACUUUUACAGAAAGACCCUUUGUCUUUAAGGUAACUAACCCGCGGUCCAACAUGUCGUUUCUACACAGCAAUCAGGUUUGGAUAUUUUAUGUACGGGACCUUUUGUAACUUUUAUUUCAACACAAAGAAGAAAAUUUGGCAACCUCACCGUUUUGCAAACCACCCCCUGAAAGCAACAAGGAGAGCCCCUACAGCCAACCCUACCGCAGUUUUGUUUCUCGGUCUCUCUCCCCUCUCCCCAUCCUUACCGCCGCCGCCACCUCUCCCCUCCAUGCCCUCUCCUCCGCACGCCGCCUCCAUGGCUCUCCCCUCCCUGCCCUCUCCUCCCCGAGUUGCCUCCAAGCUGGCAUGAGCAUACCUCCUUUGCGUGACGACUUGACGAGCAGCGGUCCCCGUCCUUACCGCCGCCGCCACCUCUCCCCUCCAUGCCCUCUCCUCCGCACGCCGCCUCCAUGGCUCUCCCCUCCCUGCCCUCUCCUCCCCGAGUUGCCUCCAAGCCGGCAUGAGCAGACCUCCUUUGCGUGACGACUUGACGAGCAGCGGGGGAAAAUCGGAGAGGAGGAGGUGUCCACGGAUACCGCGUGCGGAGGACCGGAGGAUGCUUCCUUACUCCCGAAGAUCCCCAUGCUCUCCGGAUCUGAGCUCACAUCAAACAGAUCCAGCCUCGACGACCAUCGAUCUGGCUGGCCUGUAGAAGCCCGUGGUGUGCGCGCAGCAAGCUCCACGAAGCAAGUGAGUGGGGGCUGAGCUCGAGCUCCUGGAUUCACCUUUCUUCUAUAUUUCUUUUUUAUGUGUACACUGGGAUCUAUGGCAGCUAGAUGUUUACCUUGCUUCUACUAAUAUUUUUUUCAUAUGCAUAUAGAGCUCUGGCCAGGUAAUAUUCGAUCUUGACCAUGUACCAUGUUGUACUGAAAUUGAUAAUUUAUUAAUUCCUCCUAAUAUUAUUUGUAUUAGGAAGUUAAGAAUAAUUUUAUAUGAAUGGAUACAAACAAAAAUUUCAAAUGACAAGAUGAUUAGGUGAAAAGAACCCAUUUUUACUAAAAAUUUCACACGUUCAGCGAAGAUAUGGUGGUAAUUUUUCUAGGAUAAUUGGAUAUUUAUAGUUAAGAUUAGCCAUCCCCAUUGUGACACAUUACCUCUAUUGAUUAAAAUCCUGUUUUUGUAUUGGAUGUUGAUGAUUGUUUACUUUGCAGAAUCAUCAAGGCAACCUAGGAGGCAUCUCCUUCAGAGCUGUUAGAGUGUGUUUGUUAGUUCAAGAAGGUAGCAGCUUUCACAGAGAUUGUUCUCUUCUCUAGCAAGAAAGCUGGAUGUGCUGUUACUCAGCUCAUCUUGUGAAGCAUACUUAUAUUAUUAAAUUGUUAUUAAAUGAGCUUUUCAGUGGAUGAAUUCUUUGGUUAACAUUAGUAUGGUUUUGAUUGUUAGGAACACAAUCUAAACCAUGUAAUAUUUUUUAUUUUAGCAACAUAUAUUUGUCUUUCUCAAAUCAGUACAUAGAUUACAGUUUCAUCUAAUGGUUGCAUAGUUGCAUUUUGAUUAAAGUUAAACAUGGACCAGUUAUACAUACUUUUCUACUAACUAAUAAACACAACAAAUGAUUUGAAUAACUAAACUAAGGCCGCCAGUCAAAUAACAAGAAUGGAGCCACAAAAUUUAUUGUUCUUUUAAAUAAUAAAUAUCCAGUAUCGGGCUUUGUAAUAGUUUUCCUCCCGAUUUAAGCUGAACAUAGUUGCAUGCAUCUGAAUCGGCUUGGCUUGCUGCUAUGGGUUAGUCUGAUUAGGUAUCUUGAUCAUGGUCAUGUGUUAUAUGUAUUGUAAAUACAUGAGUUUGGUAAAUUUCAGGGCACUCCUAGCUGCAGAAAAAGAAUAUGUUUUUGCAUUGCGCUACUAGCCAAAGACGAGGUUGGUCUCUUUGCUUCAUAGAGCUUUUUUUUGCUCUUGUAGUGUUGUCUAUUUGGAGUAGAAUGAACCUGAAGUUAUAGCCUUUUUCCUCGUGAAGUUCAGA
rnacentral:lncRNA from 1 species